CAAUCCCAUCAGCAACCAGACUCAACAUCUGGACAUCACUCACUUCUGUCACACAUGUGCAGAGCCAGACACACACUCUUUUUUCCACUAUUCAGUCGCUUCGAUAGCGUUGAGCUCUGCUGCUGCUGGAUCUCUGUUGUUUGUAGCUGUCUUUGGGAUCUUCUGCAUCUGCAGAACAUGCAGAGAAAAAGUUCAGACCCAGGAGACAGACAAAACUGAUUCAGCAGUGUGCAAACCAACAACACGAAUGGAGGGAGGGACAGAAAGCUUUCAUCAAAAAUAUCUUAAUUUGUGUUCUGAUGAUGAACGAAGGUCUUACGGGUGUGGAACAACAUGAGGAAAUCAAAUAUGGAGGCUGUGCUUGAAAAUGCUCCCAAAAAACAGCGCCUCUCCGUGCGUUUUUCUUAUUUUUAGGUCUUGGUUUUCAAGCGUUUGCAUUUUAUUUAUCUGUUCAAGAAACAGUGUCCAUUUCUUUGAAAAUAAAGUUGCAUAUUCCCAUCCA